GACGAACGCUGGCGGCGUGCUUAACACAUGCAAGUCGAACGGAAAGGCCCUGCUUUUGUGGGGUGCUCGAGUGGCGAACGGGUGAGUAACACGUGAGUAACCUGCCCUUGACUUUGGGAUAACUUCAGGAAACUGGGGCUAAUACCGGAUAGGAGCUCCUGCUGCAUGGUGGGGGUUGGAAAGUUUCGGCGGUUGGGGAUGGACUCGCGGAUUAUCAGCUUGUUGGUGGGGUAGUGGCUUAACAAGGCUUUGACGGGUAGCCGGCCUGAGAGGGUGACCGGCCACAUUGGGACUGAGAUAGGGACCAGACUCCUACGGGAGGCAACAGUGGGGAAUAUUGCACAAUGGGCGGACGCCUGAUGCAGCAGCGCCGCGUGCGGGAUGACGGCCUUCGGGUUGUAAACCGAUUUCGCCUGUGACGAAGCGUGAGUGACGGUAAUGGGUAAAGAAGCACCGGCUAACUACGUG
rnacentral:rRNA from 1 species